rnacentral:lncRNA from 1 species
UUGAUGGUAUAUGUCACGCAUGGUUCAUGCAUGACGUGAAAAUGUCUUCUUCAAUGUCUGGAAAAUCAAACUUUGUAAUGUUGGGUCAUUGAAUUGGAAGAUGUGAUCUAUAAUGACUCAGUGAAUUGAGUUCAUUAAAUUCAAAAAAAUUGUUGUGUGUUAUUUGUUCUAUGAUUUUUUCACAGACAUUUGCAAUGAAAAGAUUUGAACUAAAAGAAUUGUAUGCAAAGAGUUCAGCUUAGAAUCCACAUGUUGCAUCAAGUUUUAAUUUUGAUAAAAUCUACAGAUGAAUGAUUUGAAAAAUACAGAACAAUGCAUGUGUAUGGUUUAUAAGUUUUUUAAAAGGAAAAUUUUCAAUUAUAUCCUUGAAAUAUGUAGAAAUAACAAGAAUAUCCUUAUAUUCUUGAUAAUUAUACAUGUAUCCUUGAGUUUUCUAAAAAUUUCAAAAAUAUCCUUGGACUUAAUAUCUUAUCAAAAUAUUCCAGCUUUAAUCCAUUUAGAGAUCCAAUCUAUGCACCAUAAAAUAUAUAGUAUAGAACUUCUAGGAAUAGGUCCUACAUCCCUCCGUUUAUAUUAAAACUUUGAGCAAAGUUACAUGAUUAUGAAUUCAUUGUUCAAAAUCCAUUGUCACUCAUCUAGAAGAAAGUUGCAUGAAGAGGCCUUUACAAUCACCAUGCUUGAGAUCUCAUGAAAAAUUCUAACAUAUGUAAUGCUACUUGUAGCUUGUAGUGACUACAUUGAGAUAUGCAUCAUUUAAUUGUUAGUCAGACAAAUACUUCAUUUGAAAUUAUAAUUUUUUGAUUUCAUUUAAAGUUCAAAUUGAUCUUAUUGAACAAAACACAACAUACACUUGCAGCAUACAUCUAGUUCAAAUAAAACUAGUGAUAUUAUUGACUUGAGGUAUGAUUUUAUACAAUUGAUUGUAUUCUAUCAUAACAUAGUUGUUAUUAGAUAUAUAUUGGUAGAAAUUUUCACUUUGUGUUCUAGUAUCCUUCUUCUUUGUUGUAAUAACAACCCAAUUUUUGUUUUUGCUUCUUUGUAAGAAGAUAUAAUGAUUCUACCUUGAUAUAUUUGUAAGAAGUUUAUAUGUGUUGUUGUUUUCCUCGAGACAUGCACACAUGAAGACAUACACUCUGGUGUUUCUUUUUGAAUAAAUAUGCUAGAUGAACUAACUUGGAUUGAAUUCCUUCUUGGAGUACUAAAGCAUGUCAAUGUAGAUCUUUACACUGAGAUCAAGCCUAAUGCAUCAACAACUAUGUUAUGAGUGGAUUUAGAUUGCAACUUAUAAGUGGGUCAUCAUUUGUGUUAAGAAUAUUAAAAGUAGAUUUGAAGAGCCUUGGUUUGCAUCAAAUCCUUCAAUUCAUUUGGAUUGAAAUGGAAUUUAGUUUCUGACUAAUCUCUAAGUGUGUUAUUAGAGUAGCUUAUAAAUCGGCUAUUUUAUGAAAUGAGAUUAAAACGGGUGUAAAGAGAUAAGUAUCUUUACAGUGAGAGGGUUGAUUCUUCAGUACUUAAUUGGCUUCAAUUAAUAUUACUAUAUGCCAAAACAUGAAAUUAAGAUUGGAUUUUUUUUAUUCUAAUAUAAGAAGAAAAAGCCUCUUUUUUCAUUAGAAUAAAAAAAAAUCCAAUCUUUUUCUUUUUUUUCUUUAUUUCUUUUUCUUUUGUAAAAGCAUGUUUAUGGUACUACAUUUGUAUAUAUAUUAUGAGGCUUAGAAGUGUUAUAUAUACAUAUAUAUAUAUAUACAUAUAGAUAUAAUUUACACAAAUUAUAAAACACACCGUGUACUAAAGGUUGAAAAUAGUUAUUAAUUAAAUCUGAGCUGCAAAGCACUAUAUUGGUAUUUUUAAUAGCAUUUAUGAUAAACAUAUAUUAUUAAUUUUCCGGAAUUUAUUUUUAGAAUACAGUUACAUUUGAACUUUCAAUAGUAAUAAUGAAAGUACAUAUUUACACGUACUUUCAUAAAUUUUAAGAAAUAAUAAAUACUUGUAAUUUUUUUUUUAUUUCAAAUCAAAAAUCGUACCUGUUUCUUGUACCAUGUAGCCAGAUGGAGCCUAAACGCCACUUAUAGAUUAAAGCAAACGUCAUACAACAGAAGUAAAAACAACAUGAAUAUAUAAUAGCAAAAAAAUUAUUAUUUGAGACCAUUAAUAUAGAUUUAAGUAUUGCACAAAAUUAUGGUAACUCGCAAUUUUGUGGUGGUCUGACUUCUCAAGGUUUUUUUUGAAAAUAAUUUAGCACCAUUACUGCUUAUUGAAAAUAAUUACGAAUAAUAAUAUCGAAGUACAAUACUUUAGUAAGUAUAAUUUAACAACAAAUAAAAAAGAUUUUUUAUUGAACAUAAAAUCAUACACAUGCAAAGAAACUUAUAUAGAGUACAAUUAUUUUACAAAUAUAUAACCAAUUGUUUCUAAAAUUAAAUACAUUUUUUAAUUUUAAUGCUUUAAUUUUAAUGUAAAAAUAAAAUAAAAUAAAAUAUUAUAUUAUCAACUUGUAAAAUGAUUACAUUGUAAAGGUUUUCUUGCUAUACCUCAAAAAAAAUUAAUGAACAUGGCAGUACACAAUCAAACUUUUAUUGUAAUUAAUAAAAAAUCUUAUGUUCUUUGUUGUAAGUUUAUAAUUUAACAGUAGUCAUUUGAUAAUUAAAAAUAUAUAUAUUUUUUAAAUUUAACUCACAAUGUCUUCAUAAUUUGAUUUAAAAUAUAGCAAUUAAGAAUGAAAUUAAAUAUCAGAUUAAGCAGCAUAUUAGCACUGGAACCAAAUUAGAUCCUUGCAUAUUAAGUGAUUAUGCUAUAUACUCUUGCGUUGACUACAUCUAAAUACUCUUUAGCUAUUUUCAUAUCCUUAGUACAAAUGAGAUGCUUUUUUGGAUAGAUAGGUGGAUGUUGUAUGAAGGAUAGUAGAAUUAGAGCAACAUCAAUUUUAUUGUUCCUUGCUUCCCUCCAAUAUUCAAUCGAUGGUAUUGGGAUGAUGGCUAUUGCAUAAAUUGCUUGUUGAGCUUGAGCAGUAUGAAAAUAAGCAAUGUAAUUGACAAUAGAUUAUUGCAUAAAUAGUACAUUGUUAAUUGUAUGUAUACAUGGAAUUUUAGAUAACUGCCAUCAUUUGCAAGUGCAUGUGCAAUUUUGCAAAUUCACAAUAUUAAAUGACUGCCUCGACAUGCAAUAGAAGAUAGUAUUAGAUGAAAGAAUGAUGAAGUAACCUCGUGCAAAUAUUAGUGACCAUUAAAUCUUCUACUAUACAGUAAUUGAAAAUGGUCGAGUAAUUAUGUUAGCAAUAAUAUGUUACUCAUUGUACCAUGCUAUGAGUUGCCAAUGAAUUGUUUUUAGCAUUGGAAUUAACAAAAAUUUAAAGACUUUACAAUAUUUAGAGUGAUGUGGCCAAAUUGAUUUUUGUCAAAUUGUAACAAUGCCUAAUAUUGUAGUCCAAUGCUCAUCAAAUACUCUAUAGCUUCUUCAAAUAGAGUAUAGAUUUUUAAAAAUUUGAUGUUGAAAUCUGAAAUAGUUGGUACUUAUGUUAUUGCCUAAAGAUAUUAUAUAAGCAUUGUAUUCUUGAAUUAUUUUUACAAGUUGUCUACUAAAUGGUACAUACAAAAUGUGUGUUUGCAUGUUGGAAAUGGAAUGUUGAUUGCAUCAAUAAGACCUUUUUGAUGAUCAAACAAAAAUGUGAACUUCAAAAGUUUGGAGUUUAAUGGACUAGAUGUAAGAAUUGUUGUCUUCAGUUUUUGCAAGAACCACAACCAAUUGUCAUUACUUUUAGCAUUCACAAUGCUAAAUGUAAUAGGAAAUAGUUACCUCUCUACAUUGAUUAUUAUAGCUACAAAAAAUACUCUACAAUAUUUAUAUUUUAGAUAGGUGUUGUCUAUGUUAAUCAUGAAUUGACAAUAUUACAAGCCAUAUAAGCUUACAUUAUAAGUAACAAACAAUUGAUAAAAGUAAUUUUCUUCAUCAACUUUUAAUUUUACAUAACUCUCAAGAUUUGUUGUCUUGAUUUGAUGAUAAUACACUUUUAAGUCAUUAAGUUGUCUUGAUAAGUACAAAUUAGCUCAAAAAUUAUUUUUUCUUUUGUACACCAUCUCAUUAAGUAUGAUAUUGUAAUGCCAUUAUUAUAUCAAAUAUAUUUUAAAAUAUCUACAACUUUGUAUUGUGAAAUCUCUUUCAAUUUGUUCUUUAGUUUGCUUUCUACCCAACUAGUCCUUGCAUAUUGGUUGUCUAAGUGCUUAGCACCAAUGUUUGUGUAUAUUGAGACAUAUGUCCUAAUCUCAAAUUCAUUUAAAAAUAUUGAGUGAAACUGUAAUAUAUGAGGUCUCUAUUUGCAAUUGUCAUUGCAACACUUUACAAUAUAUCUUCUUUGCUUAGAUUUGAUAAUAGAUAUUUUAUGAUGCUUGCUAAUUAUAUUUUGAGCUAUGGCUUGCUUCAAUUCAUUACUACUACUACUACUACUACUACUACUAAAAGUAAUAUCUACAAUAAGAGCACUUGUCAUUUUAAAGUAAAAUUUUUUCUUAGCAAAUUUUUCAAAAGACAAAUCUUUUUAAUAUGAAUGUAUCAAUCAAUAAUGGCUUGAUUGAAAUAGAAACUCUAGAGCAUUUAAUUGCAUGAUGUUGCUUCAAUGUGGAAUUGGCUAAUUUAGCUAUAAGAGUUUCAUCUACAUCUAAGUCAACAUAAGGUUAUAAACUUACCUUGUUAGCUCAAAAUUAUAAAUUAUAAGUAUAUUUUUAUCUAGUUCGACUUGAAAUUUGACAUGAUUUCUUAUAAGGAGUUUGUAAGUAAAUGGUGAAAGCUAGUAUGGGCAUACUACUAGCAAAUAUAUUAAUGAAUUUGAAAAUUCUUCAUCAAAGUUGCUAGAAACUAAGAUUUUAGAUAUGUUGUAGGACUGGGUAUGUGUUAACUUGAUAUAGAAGUGACAGUAGUUGCUCCUUUGAAAGUUAUUUAAUAUUAUGAACCUUAACAAAUUUGUAUGAGCUGAUAAACAGAAACUAGCAAUUCGGAGUAGCUACAUAAUGGAUUGGAGUACAAAAUGGGUUGGGAUAGAAAGAAGAAGCAUAAAUUCACCAAUACUUGUAGUUCUAUGCCAUGACUUCAAUUUUGGACAAUUUAAUUGGGAGCACAAUUGUAUGAAGAGACAUCACAAUUGACUUUAAGCACUAGCAGCAGAUUUUUCAUUUUUCUCUUACUAUUUAGAAUAUUUGUGGAAAAAGUGCAUCAUUGGUGAUAUACAAGAUAAGCACAAGUGACUUUUUCCAAAUUUUUUGUGAGCCAAGAGCAACAAUUUUUGAGUCAAGAGCAAUGCUCUUUGUACUAAUGGACGAAACACGUGCAAUAGCUGCAUCCCUAAGAUAACCUCGUUUUUUUUUAAGCCAGUUACAAAUGAAAUUAGAGAACUUGCUAUUGAAAAUCAAAAUCGCAUCUUUUGUUUAUAAUGAAAAACAAUAGGCAAAGGAAUCACGAAGAAAGUAUGAAUCAUGUAAGAAUGAGGGCCUGAGCAAACAAUUCACGGAACAUGCCCUAAUUGAAUAAUGCAAGAAUGAUGUGUGACAUGAGUAUACACACACAUUAACAAAAACAAUUUACAGAAUAAAAUAAAAAGAAAGUCAAAAGAACAAAAUCUGCAACAGAAUAUUUACAAUAAGCACAAUAUUUAAUACUUUAAUCUCUCCUUUUACAAAUAAUCUCUGUUGCCCAAUAAUCAUCCUUAUUACAAAUUGAAAUUCUUGUAUACAGUGAACAAUAACAAUAGACAUGUAGAUAAUCCAAACAUGAAAUAUCACAAACAAACCAAUUGUUAUUGCUGAAUUUGUAUUCAGCAUCCACAAUAAACCAUCUAAGACUUAAUAUUUCUUUUAAAAUUCUAAUACUUGUCUCAAAUGUGAAAAUGAAUCAAACUCACAAAUUUGAACAAAAAGAUAACAAUUAUUUGAGCAUAUUUUAUUAGGAGAUCUUGCAAUUGGUUAGUAAAAGAAUAGCGCACACAACUGCAAAACAUUCAAAAUUAGAUUCAAGUACAAAAUCACAAAGAACAAAAAUCAAACAAAAAUAGAGAAACUCACUCUAUUCUUGAUCAAGCUCCUUCCAAAUGACCCACACACAUUGCCUGUCUUCAUGCAUACACAAUAGAUGUCGAGAGGAGAAGGAGGCGCACCGAAGAUAUCAAAAGGAGGAGAGGCUGAAUAUAUAGAAGGAAGUAGCCUCUCACUGUUUUGUGUUAUAUUUUCCGAUUUCCUCACUAAAAAUAGAAUGCAAUCAAUUGUAUACAGCCCUACCUUGAGUCAACAGUACCACUGGUUUUGUUUAAACUAGAUACGAAUUGCAAGUGUGUUGUAUUUUGUUCAAUAAGAUCAAUUUGAGCUAAAUUGGAUAUACAAGAAUAGGAGCUAGAUCGAUUACAAGAUUAGGAGCUAGAUCGAUGAAACUUGUGAAUGCUUUUGUUGACCAAAAUGCCGAUUUUUGAAUGUUGCGAUCUUCAUUGCGAAAUUAGGGCUGUGACGCAACAUCAGAAGUCUUGCUUAGGGUAUGCUGAGUGACCUCGUAAUUGAAGCCAUGAGGAACUAGCAUCCAAAUUUCUUAAGGAGAGAAGCAUUCUCAGCAAGUUCUUGGUCACCGAAUAUUUGAUUCUGCAUUUAUUGCGACUGCUUACUGCGAACCACACAAGAUUAGUCUAGACUUGUCAUCUCAAUGAUGCCGUUGUGAAAUCAUGCAAACCGCAAGACUUUGAGGUCUGAAUUCCCGCAUUAAGACAGAUUGGAACACUUCAGCAGUGUCAGAAUGAGAGACGUGAGCACGAUUCUCCACAUCAAUCCAUCAAACCACAAAAUUAUUCGCAUCCAACCCCUGACAUUGAUCAGUCAAUUGCUGCGUUGGACGAGGACAACGAAGACUUUGCAGUGCCUUCUUCAAGAGAAAGAGAGUGCAAACGCGUUGAGCAUUCCAUGGGGUGUAAAUCCCCAGAAGGUGCAUAGAAAUAUUCCUAAUUCCGAGCAAUCCGACACAUCCUUUAUUAUCGAACAUACACAACGUGGGUAACUGGCACAAUGACCAGGACUGGCCCUGUGCGUGGUUACGAGUUAUUGAUUGAUUAUUUGCUUGAACUCGAGGUAUCCCCAGCUAAGCACAUUCCGCAAUGUGAAAUUCCUCAACUACAAUCCCAGGUCUUGAUUGAUGAACUUGAUUCAAGGUGAGUCGGUUCAUGUGAGCAACCUCCACACCCUCACAAAGACAGUUAAUGCAGUGCUGUGCACACCAGCUAACAUCCUGGAGGAGGCAUUAAAAUGGAGCUGGAUCUUGCACUGUUUAAGACUCUGCCGAUCAAUACCUGCUGCAGUCGCCACUCUUACGCUUGGGCAUAGUCAGAUCCGCAGUCGCUGUGAUCCAAACGGGUCUCUCUAUAACGACCUAGAGUUGUAGCUGCUGUCGUGCACGAUGAAGUCAGUUCAAGCUAUGGUCGUGUUGCUACUGUUGGCAGCUCUGUUGGAGUGUGUUCAACAUUCAGAGGCAGGUCGAACGAUGCUAACUGUUGGAUCAGAAAAGACUUUGAGCAGCCUGUUGCCUAGCUGCUCGCCUCCUCCUGCCCCAGUGGACGUUCCUUACACUCCCACCACACCUGACACUACCUCUCCCUCCACUCAUGAUACCUACACUCCGACUACUCCGACUACUCCAUCUGAGCCUUCUCCGGUGUAUAGCAGCCCACCUCCCGCUGAUGGAUACUAGCAACCUUGAGCUCUUGCUUCGGCGGUGCACGGCGUGAAAACAAGUGAGUCUCGGUCCUUCAUGUAGAGGGUGAGGUGUUGCACGUAUGUGACAUGGAUAUGAAAUUCUCAGGAUGUUAUAUGUAGUGUAACUGAUCGCCGUUUUGCUCGCGCUUGCAUUAUGGCUAAGGUUGACACAUACGAAUGUAAGCCUCAAACAAAACGUUUCGGUAUGGUGGCUUGCAGGAAUUUUUGCAUCGCACUCGCUUGAUGUGUGACGUGGAAUCUGGUCACCACGACUGGCUUGUAAAAGCACGCCGAAGUUGGAGAAGUUGUUGACGCUGAUCUGGUUUAGUGCAUGGCACCUUUCUUUGUAGAUCCAGAGAGAGUGCCUUCGUUCUAUUCAGAAGGGGUAGCGUACAUUUGUUGCUGGAUUCCUUGUAGGCUAAAGUAAGAUUUUAUUUAAUAUUUGAGCUCAGAAGUAGUAUCUCACAAAAUGCAUACAUCGUUUAGAUCCACUUGUCAUUCAUGUCAAUUUUUCGUGUUUCUAUCACAAUCAUUUCAUAAAGUAAAAUUUGGAGCUCUGUCCCUGUUAUCAUAGAAAUGUUUAGCAUGAUAAAUGAAAUUUCUACCAAGAAAUCACCAAGACCAAUCAAAUCACCAUUAUCCUGGAAAGAGUUCACUUUCUCCGAUCUCAGGAAGUAAUCACGACCAGCUCAUGGACAAAAGCAACUUGCGAGACUCCAGUUUUGAUUGAAGAAUUGAAGACAACAGCAUAGCUCUUGUAUUUGAUAUUGGUAGACAGCGUAUUUGAUAUUGGUAGACACUCUCAGAACCCUAGUUUGGUUGCAUCAUCUAAAUGAACUAUUCAAGCUGCCCGUUUUCCCACUUCAGAAUCCUAGCAGGACUCAAGCUCUAAUACAAUAUCGUAGCGCAUUUAGUAAUUGUAUAUUGUGCAAAUCAAACAGUUCCUACACACGUACACCCACCCUUGAUUAGGAUUAAAUUAAUCAAAGCGAAGCUUCUCAACACCACCUCACCCCACCAUCCACAGGCUGAGAAGCACAUUCUUGACUGUCAUGUCAUGAUUCCAAUUCAUUCAGGUCUUGAAAGACUGCGUGGCCUCCUCCGCUUCCCCUGUAGCCUCUCCCUCGGGCUCUAUCGCCUUGCAAGGCUCUAUGGUGGUCUUGGUGAGCGAACCGGAUUGACGCCUGCUGAAACCCUUCGGUUGGUGACAGCGUUGCAUCUGGCUACCUGGAGCGGAGCACUGCAAACACUGACAGGUUUAGGGGGUUUCACUGUCGAGAGGAAAUAGAGGUCCUCCGUGGAGAGCAUUUCACUACAGGUUUGGGGCCGUCUGCGAGGACUUCUUUACGCCUGCUGCAUUGCUACCAAGACAGGGCCUCCCUCUUGUGCGGUAAAUCACCCGAUAGUUGCACAAGAAAAGAUCAUUUGUACGCCGGCCCGUCCUAACCUCGGCACGCAUGUAGCUAUAAUAAAGCUUAGUACCGUUGAUCCAAGCAUGACCAAAACCUGCCACGAGCUUCGUUUUCACUGUCUAGGCAGCCGCCCAGUUCUCUCUGCAGUGCACUCAUUCACAAGGCGUUGUCGCAUAUGAAUCCGACUCUCUUUCGGAGUGAAGGAAACAGUCACUAACAUAAUACCGAAACAGCGAGCUUUGGGGAUGUGCACCAGCCAGGCCAUAUUCUCAGAAACGAGAAUGCAUGUUCACAGCUUGGCCAACGUAGACGGCGAUGCACGGUCCCCAGUCAUUAAGUCCAUGGUGGGUCGCAGUGUGGGGGUGACGACCAUAAUGGCGCUGCCACGCGCAGAUUACAAGUCGCCGGCCCCCACAGGCAAGCAGGCAGGCCAGGCAAAGCAAACCUGGUUUUGUGGAUUGGGACCUGGUACUCAUGCACUGGAAUGGAAAUGAAAUGGCAAUGAAGUAGAAAUGAGAAAAGGACACUCACUCACUCACUCUCUCAUCCAACUGGGCAGUGCCGAGGUAGGCUGUCCCUCCCUCUUUCCUCUGCUUCCCAGAUAUUUUCUGCUGGCUCGAACAGUCUUGCGUCUGGAAUUUUUUUUAAAAGAGAAUAUAUUUAUCUACAGCUACAAUAAAACCUUAUUUCGAUGAAUAAAAUUGAAAAUAUUAUAAAAAAUUUAACCAAAAUUAGAAUCUAAGCCUAGUCGGAUCCGGCCAAAGCAGCCGCGAAACUCAUAUGAACCAUUCGGCAGAGUUGAAGCAAACAAGUAGGGUAGCUUAUAACCACUCGACCUAAGACCGAGGUUCUCCGGUCUGAUGCAGGCAGUACUAUUGUUUCCUCGGACUUAGAUGGGUAUUCGUACAAUACUCCGAUAAUACUCAAUCGAAAAAAAAAGUAAAAAAUAACAGUAAAGAUGAAAGCAUUGGUAUGCAAGCUCCGCAAAGUCACCACUACCCACAAGCGCCGCAAGGCACCGUCACAGCGUUGUUGCACCACCCCCUGCAUUGCAUGGACUGUAGCUCCGCACCACGCAGCGUACUUCUUGAUCACCAUGCGCCGCGCCCGAUGCUCGCACCCCCACCAAGUCAAAGCAUCGUCUGUCGGCCCAAUUAUUACGUGAUGAAUUAUGAAGUCUGCUCACUGCAUGCUGCGCCGACCAUUACAAGCAACGCUUAUCUACCACAUAGGUUCUGUGCUCUUGCCACUCCACCAGUCGAGGUGCUCUCUGCUCAGUGACUAAGUGCAGGAGUAUUUUGGACCAGUUGCAACGGGAGUGUAAACGCUGUGGUUCGAGCCGACGAAAGUUCAACAGCGUGUAUACGGUGCGAAUGUGUGUAGGGAGUGGUCGGCGCAAUUGCGAAAUGGUGCUUGCCGCGCGUCGAUUUAGAGCAACUAUAAAUUGAGUUGGGUUUUCACCGGGCUACAGAGGGAUUUGUGCUCGGCUACGGAUUCAAUUUUGCAGUCAGUGCAGCGUACGCUGUAGUUAAGGGUUUUGAUAAAACAUCUAUUGAGUACGGAUACUCGCACAAUGAUCAUUAACUCCGUUCAAGAUACAGUAAGUAGACUUUCGGCUCGCGGAGCUGACUACCAGAGAAACUUUUAAAUGUAGACUUGAUACAUUUUAAUAAAGGCCAGUGAAAGCAGUGACAUAGACAGAGAGGUACAAUGAAUCAUAUGUUGCAGCUUCAUUAUAAAUUGCGAAAUAUCAUGAGGUUACACGCCUCCGUAAUUGGAGAGAAGGCAGGAGGAAACCAACGCUGCACUACACUGCAGUCUAUCAACCCCGGCACCACAGGAACUGUGAGAAAAUUACGGGGUCAACAAGCCUAUCCACUUCCCUCAAGACGUCCACCUUAUUCCUCACUGCCUGGGUCAAAACCCUUACACACACUGCCACUGCACGUAACACCCUGGCAAGAACAAACAAAUCCGGAAUAAUUUAUCUCCAUGCUCGCAGCACCUUCAUGGCAAAGGUCGCCAGCUCCCCGCACCAUUUAAUAUGAAAAAAACAUCUCCAAGGGACGAAUGCCAGUGCCUCAUACCAACUCAGCUAUUAUGAAUCCUCUUGAAAAAGGCGCACAGUUGAUAACCUGUUACAUGAGUCAAGAAGACCAUCAGAGAUGGUUAAACGAUCAAGAAAAAAGGACAAUUCCUUGCUCAAUCAAUCGAAUCUCAAUUCAAUAAAAAUCAUGCAUCAGUUCAGGUUGCGAAAUUGGCUCGUACCUCUUACGACAUUGGCAUCUACUCACAAUCACGGACCUCAGUAGCCGCCUGCAGGUGGGCUUCCAGAGGGAGAACCUCCAGAGGGAGAGCCCCCAGAGGGAGUUGGGCUAUAUGGGGGGCUAGAGUAAGAAGGAGAUGAUGGAGUGGUAGGAGAUGAACCAGACGGGGUAGGGCUGUAAGGGGGGCUAGAGUAAGUAGGCGACGACGGGGUAGGAGGAGACGGACCAGAUGGGGUCGGACUGUAUGGGGGACUGGAGUAAGUAGGAGACGAUGGAGUAGAAGGAGAUGGGUCGGAAGGAGUUGGGCUGUAUGGGGGACUCGAGUAAGAUGGAGACGAGGGAGUUGUAGGAGAUGAGCUGGAGGGAGUUGGACUGUAAGGAGGGCUGGAAUAGGUAGGAGAUGACGGAGAAGAACCAGAAGGAGUUGGGCUGUAAGGAGGGCUAGAAUAUGUAGGAGAUGACGGAGAAGGACCUGAAGGAGCAGUAGGAGAUGGACUAGAAGGAGCUGGGCUAUAUGGAGGACUGGAAUAAGUAGGAGAUGAGGGAGUCGUAGGAGAUGAACUGGAAGGAGUCGGGCUGUAUGGAGGACUAGAGUAGGAUGGAGAAGGGGUCACAGGAGACCCACCGGAGGGAGUACCAGGAGAGUAAGGAGGAGAACUGUAGACUGGAGUGGGAGUCACAGGGGAAGGAUCGGAAGCAACUGGGGGAGAAUACGAUGGAGUGUAGGGAGUAGCCGGUGGAUCAGUGGAGGGAGGAGGAGGGCAGAGAGUCAAACUCGGGAUCAAGCUUCCCAGGCCUGAAGACGUGAGAAGCACCCUCGCCUCCGUGUUGACGAUACAAGCGCAGCAGCUUAGAAGAGCUGCGACGAGAAUCAGC